UUAAGCAUAUCACUAAGCGGAGGAAAAGAAACUAACCAGGAUUCCCCUAGUAACGGCGAGUGAAGCGGGACAUGCCCAGCACCGAAUCCCCCAGCAUAUCGCUGGCGGGAACUGUGGUGUAUGGGACGUCAACUGUCGUCCGCACCGGUGGCCGAAGUCCUCCUGAUCGGGGCCUCUCCCAGAGCGGGUGUCAGGCCUUUACUGGCUGCUGGUCGGUCGGCUGCGAGCGUCUCCGGAGUCGGGUUGUUUGGGAAUGCAGCCCUAAGAGGGUGGUAAACUCCAUCUAAGGCUAAAUACUGGCACGAGUCCGAUAGCGGACAAGUACCGUGAGGG
rnacentral:rRNA from 1 species